CUCUGCCUGCUUUGUACGCGAGCCAUGUAGCCCUUGAGCCGAUAAUCUCAUCCCAGGGAGAUCUAGUUGAUUUUUGGUGUGCAGGUCCGAGCAAACCAUCAUUUAUGAUGGCUUGGAGCGGAAAGCCUAAAUUAAAUCACGGAAUUCCCACCUGAACCUUCGGGUUCUUGGGCGAGUCUGGUGGACGGCAAGGCGGGUAGUAU
rnacentral:other from 1 species